rnacentral:rRNA from 1 species
UACGGAGGAUGCAAGCGUUAUCCGGAAUGAUUGGGCGUAAAGCGUCCGCAGGUGGCUGUGUAAGUCUGCUGUCAAAGAGCGAAGCUCAACUUCGUAAAGGCAGUGGAAACUACAUAGCUAGAGUACGGUCGGGGUAGAAGGAAUUCCUGGUGUAGCGGUGAAAUGCGUAGAGAUCAGGAAGAACACCGGUGGCGAAAGCGUUCUGCUAGACCUGUACUGACACUGAGGGACGAAAGCUAGGGGAGCGAAUGGG